GAAGUACUCCCUCCGUCCCAAAAUUCUUGUCUUAGAUUUGUCUAGAUAGAGAUGUAUCUAAUACUAAAACGUGACUUGAUACAUCCGUAUUUAGACAAAUCUAAGACAAGAAUUUUGGGACGGAGGAAGUAUUGU
rfam:Triticum aestivum genome assembly, contig: Triticum_aestivum_CS42_TGACv1_scaffold_570466_7AS